UUAGAGUUUGAUCCUGGCUCAGAACGAACGCUGGCGGCAGGCCUAACACAUGCAAGUCGAACGCUGUAGCAAUACAGAGUGGCAGACGGGUGAGUAACACGUGGGAAUCUUCCUAUCGGUACGGAAUAGCUCAGGGAAACUUGGGGUAAUACCGCAUACGCCCUUCGGGGGAAAGAUUUAUCGCCGAUAGAUGAGCCCGCGUCUGAUUAGCUAGUUGGUGAGGUAAUGGCUCACCAAGGCGACGAUCAGUAGCUGGUCUGAGAGGAUGACCAGCCACACUGGGACUGAGACACGGCCCAGACUCCUACGGGAGGCAGCAGUGGGGAAUAUUGGACAAUGGGCGCAAGCCUGAUCCAGCCAUGCCGCGUGAGUGACGAAGGUCUUCGGAUUGUAAAGCUCUUUUGGCGGGGACGAUAAUGACGGUACCCGCAGAAUAAGCCCCGGCUAACUUCGUGCCAGCAGCCGCGGUAAUACGAAGGGGGCUAGCGUUGUUCGGAAUUACUGGGCGUAAAGCGCACGUAGGCGGAUUGCUAAGUCAGGGGUGAAAUCCCGGGGCUCAACCUCGGAACUGCCUUUGAUACUGUCAGUCUUGAGUCCGGAAGAGGUGAGUGGAAUUCCUAGUGUAGAGGUGAAAUUCGUAGAUAUUAGGAAGAACACCAGUGGCGAAGGCGGCUCACUGGUCCGGUACUGACGCUAGUCGAAGCG
rnacentral:rRNA from 1 species